AUGACGGCUGACUGUGACAUCAACUCUGCUGCUUCAGACCGGACCCGGCGAACCGAGUCAGCUCUCUUCGAGAGGGUCCCACUGAGUGAGAUCGAUCUCAUAUCCAAUGCUGUUCUGAUCAGGACACCUUCUGUGCCCUGUGAGUACAUGAUUGUGGUGCAGUCAGACAAUGUCCCAGAGACCAUAGUGUUUCAGAGAGACUCAUCAGUCAGUAAGAAAAUGAGGAAUGCUCGAGCAGCAGCUGGUGGUGCUGCCACUGGUGCACCGGGCAACGCCCAGUCUGACUGCACACCCUGUUUGACCCCGCCUAUAGCCCCAUCACAAAUGGUCAAAGAUCAGCCAGCCACCAAAUUGGUCACGCCGUUAGUGUUGACUGAGGACCCUCCACUUUUUGGUGGCGGAAAUAAGGCUGUCUUAACCCAACUUGGUUGGAAUACACUUUUACCUGGAGACAAUUCUUUCUACAAGCACAUGGACGUAAAUAAAGCAUUACCUGAUGCAAAUGCCUACAACCCCUACAUGAAUGAAAUGAUAGUGGAUCAAAUGAAUGGGGUGAACUUUGGUAUUUUACCCAAGGUGUCAGAUGAGAUGACAGGCUUCAAUGUUAUGGGCCCACCCACCUUCAUGCCACCAGGUGUUUCAGCAGCAGAAGAAAUAAGUGCUUCUAGUUUAGUGUAUCCUCCGAUUUCAGCUGGACAGGAGGCUAAUACACUCUGUUUGGUGCUCCCGACGAUUUCCAUUGCUCAAGAAAGUGGAGCACUCCCAUUGCUUAGCCCACCAUCUAUCUCAAAGCCACAAGCCAUUACAGUCCCCAGUGUGAUGUGCCCAGCCAUCUCACAACCAGAGGAAACAAAGACCUCCAAGGCAGAGGAAAUAGAGGCCCUCCGAUCAAUGUACCCUCCUAUUGUGCCACCCAGUUUACCAAACCCAUCUGUAUCAGCUCCACAGGAAACAACAGCCACUCUGCAUAAUCCCCCAUUUUUGUCACAGGAGGAAACAAGACCCCCUUCAUUGCCACUCACCCAGGCCACAGUUGCCCACAUGUAUCAGUGCACUGGUCAGAAUGCACUAGCAUUUCAUGUGAAUGAGGAGAGCAGAAGAACACCAUAUAUGAUUCCAUUGGUCUCCCAAAGCAUUAUGGGAGUGACACAGAUGUAUGUUCAACCACAACAACCCCAGUUCAUUAACAGCUGGUCCAGAGAAGCAGAUUCACAAAGGCCAUGUAACACAGCGCCUACUGCGGCCAUGCCAGAGUGCCAGUAUGUUAGACCUGAAGCAUGUGGUAGCAGCUGGAGACCUUGCCACCUGGCACGCCCUGAGUUUAUGGCCGGGAUGCCAACAGCUGUGGCUUGCCCAGGAGGAUCUAGGACUGUGAUUGGCUGUGGGCAAGAGCAAGGCUACCUCCCUGACCAGGCCAACUUGCCAAUGCACCAGGACUUUGGGCCCCGGUUCAGCUCCCAUCACAUACGUAUGUGUGGUGCCAACUUGUUUCAAACCCUCUGCCCCAUGAGUGGUGCCUACAUGCCAGUCAAACCCUCAGACCAUCGCUGCUGCCAGGCUGCCCCUGAUGUGGUCCUUCCACACUAUGCACUGAUCAACAGCCCAACUCACGGUGUUGCCUCUUAUCUUUGCCCUACUCCAUCAUCCAUGCAGCCCCAGGGUUUUGCCUAUGAUUCUGUCCACAUGUAUGGUCCCCACAGUGAAACUGUAAAUGCAAUGCCAUCCACCUUCAAUGUGAGGGCCCAUGCAGGCCACCAGCAAGGGACAACAGAACACUGCAGAGAGCCCAGUAAUAUGCCAAUGGGUGAACAUCCAAAUGAGCAGAAUUAUUCUGGUAUAUAAAAAUUUGAUUUCUCUGUCAUUUGUUAGAAUGUGUCUUGGAAUAAGUGUGACAUUUUGUUCAGAUUUUCAUUUUAUCUCUAAUUUAUUCUUCUCUAAAUUCCAGGUUAAUGACAGCACAUCGCCAGGAAUGAACAACUUAUUUAAUUUGUUCCUGAAAACAUACUGAACACCUUCAACAUUCUGCAAUAAACAUAGCUAUCUUAUGAAA
rnacentral:lncRNA from 1 species